CGGGAUGUGGCCUAGUUGGCUAAGGCGCCUGGUUUGGGACCAGGAGAUCGCAGGUUCGAGUCCUGCCAUCCCGA
rnacentral:tRNA from 1 species